AUUGAACGCUGGCGGCAUGCCUUACACACGCAAGUCGAACGGCAGCACGGGUGCUUGCACCUGGUGGCGAGUGGCGAACGGGUGAGUAAUACAUCGGAACGUACCUUAUCGUGGGGGAUAACGCAGCGAAAGCUGUGCUAAUACCGCAUACGCCCUGAGGGGGAAAGCGGGGGAUCGAAAGACCUCGCACGAUUAGAGCGGCCGAUGCCUGAUUAGCUUGUUGGUGGGGUAAAAGCCCACCAAGGCGACGAUCAGUAGCUGGUCUGAGAGGACGAUCAGCCACACUGGGACUGAGACACGGCCCAGACUGCUACGGGAGGCAGCAGUGGGGAAUUUUGGACAAUGGGGGCAACCCUGAUCCAGCAAUGCCGCGUGAGUAAAGAAGGCCUUCGGGUUGUAAAGCUCUUUUGUCAGGGAAGAAACAGCAGCUCUAACAAAGUUUGUGAACGACGGUACCUGAAGAAUAAGCACCGGCUAACUACGUGCCAGCCGCCGCAGUAA
rnacentral:rRNA from 1 species